rnacentral:lncRNA from 10 species
UUAAUUAGGGUAAUGACAUAAUUAGUGUAACUCGGGCUCCAUCACAUGGCUUCAACAUGCAAUUAGGAGCUGUCAGCGGGAGGCGACAUUGUGAGAGCGCUCAUUCAAUUUUGGUUCCAGCAUGGAGGCCUAGCAGCUGCCUCUGCUUGGAGGGAGGGAGAUGGGUGGAUGGUGGCGGCUGCUGUGUGUGUGAGGUGACUGCAGGCAGCCCAUAGCCUAGGAGAGAAGAGUAAGUGGGGACAGAAAGGCAGUUUCCUGGGCUAAUGGAGUCCCUGACUGAGCCUACUCACAUCCUCAACAGACAUUGCCACCCUUGACCCCAGCCCCAGGGCAAGGCAGAGGCGGUGGCUUGGCUGGAGUGUCUGCGAUUAGGGGGCUGAGCACUGCAGGCUCCUCUGCCCCCAAGUUCUCUGCCUGAAAUGCCACCAUUAGCAGGCUGUCUUGUCUCUCUUUAGGGCUUUGCUGUUCAUAAGAGCCACCAUCUGAUACCCACUGGCCAGUAGGCUAUUCUUCGUGGCCCCAGGAGGCCACAGACUGGCAGGACUGGGAUGAUCCCUGUUAUCCUCAUUGGAUUCAUGGGGAAAGUGGGGCUUAGGUCAAGGAAGGUGGU